AUCGCCUCCACGUCGGUUUUCUUUCCCUCCCCCAUUUCCUCCCCCAACCGAGUGAAAUCGACAAAAAUUCUGGCCACGUCGGAUUUUUUUCUUCCUCGUUGAUUUCUUCAGCUAGAGUUACCUCCUUCGCAUCGCUCCCGCCAGAAAAUCCAGCCAAUUAAUUCAGCAAUCAAAGGACCGGAGCAAAGCCAUCAGGCAACAGCGGCGCAUUUUAGAGUUCAUCACCGACGUCACCGACAUCAACGCCGUCAUCGAGCAGGCCGAGGAGGCUGACCGCGUUUACACUGUCGAUAACCCUGACCCAAAUCUCCUUGUUAAUCUGGAUUUGGAUGGGGUAUUGUCGGUGGAGGAGAUGAGGGAGGAGCAGAGGGAAGAGGAGGCUCUACACGCUGGCAGUCUCCAAGUUCCUCGAAGACCUCAGGUCACUAUUGCAACAACAAUGAUGUUAUGCCAUCGCUUUUAUCUCCAUCAGUCUCACAGAAGGAAUGAAUGGCAGGCUUCGAACCACACUCUGCUUGCAAUAUGAACCCAGUUACAUUGCAGUCGGGUCUCUUUAUCUUGCUGCUAAGCAUCACAAUAUGAAACUUCCAACAUGGGAUGGUUGCAUUUGGUGGUAAUUGUUGGAAAUCAUGCCAAAACAGUUAGAUGGUAAAAUAACUUUUACCAUCUUUACUAGUUUGCGAAUGCAUAGACACUAUCUUACAUUUACUUAAGUGGGUAUUCUAUUACAAAUUGUAGAGAUACUUUAACAAAUGAUGGAGUUAUUAGGUUACAAGAAAAGACCUUUGGUAUCUCCUGCACUCGAGAAGCCAAAGGUAAUCCAACCUCCAAUUGCGUCUGCGGAGAAGGCAGAGGAGCCAUCAAGCAGCCCAGAGUCUUGUGUAUUGAGCAGAGAUGGGUCUUCAAGUAGAAGCCCUAGUCAUGAGUUUAGUGAGGAAGCUAGCUCAGCAAGACUCGUAGAAUUGAAGAAAAAUAGGGAAGCUCAAUGCGAGCUGAGAAAUUCUGAAAGCCCGGAUGGUGUUGUUGAGGAUUGUAGAGGGGAGCAUGUCCUUAAUAAGAUCAACGUGGACGGAAUCAAAGCAUUGAUGAAGACGCGAAAGAGGAAAACAGAAGUUAAUAACAAGUGUAUACAAGCUUUGGACGAUUCAAGUGAAGAAUCUUGGAUUCAAAGAGAGUUGGAAGCUAGAAUAGAGUUGGAAACCAAGAGGCAAAGACAAGUUUGAGAUUUUGUAGGGAGAUUGAAGUUGUUACCGCAGAUACCAUGAAAUUAUUAUGAAUGGAUCUGAACUUUAGUGGAUUAUUUUCAGCGCUGCUGUUAUUAAAAGUUAUGGCUGCAGUAGCUAAAAUGAGCUCAAUAUGUGUUCAGUUGUACAGAAUGGCAUUGUUCAAGCUCUAUAAAUCAUUCAAUUAUAAAUGUAAUGGUUUCCAUCCCUUUCUCACAAAGUUCUGUGAGGAUAGUUGUAUGUACGUGUUCAAUUUUUCUUUUGAUGAAUGUGUACACGUUCAAUUGUACAUUCUUUUAUAGCUCAAGCUCUGUAAAUCAUUCAGUUAUGGGUGAAAUCAUAUCAUUAAUUUAUCACAGCUCUUUGAGGA